rnacentral:tRNA from 1 species
GCCGGAGUGGCGGAAUGGUUUACGCAGAGGACUUAAAAUCCUUGCCCGCAAAGGGUUGUGGGUUCGAAUCCCACCUCCGGCA